GACGAACGCUGGCGGCGUGCUUAACACAUGCAAGUCGAACGUGAUUUUUGUGGAAAUUCUUUCGGGAAUGGAAAUGAAAUGAAAGUGGCGAACGGGUGAGUAACACGUGAGCAACCUACCUUACACAGGGGGAUAGCCGUUGGAAACGACGAUUAAUACCGCAUGAGACCACAGAAUCGCAUGAUAUAGGGGUCAAAGAUUUAUCGGUGUAAGAAGGGCUCGCGUCUGAUUAGCUAGUUGGAAGGGUAAAGGCCUACCAAGGCGACGAUCAGUAGCCGGUCUGAGAGGAUGAACGGCCACAUUGGAACUGAGACACGGUCCAAACUCCUACGGGAGGCAGCAGUGGGGAAUAUUGCACAAUGGGGGGAACCCUGAUGCAGCGACGCCGCGUGAGCGAAGAAGGUUUUCGAAUCGUAAAGCUCUGUCCUAUGAGAAGAUAAUGACGGUAUCAUAGGAGGAAGCCCCGGCUAAAUACGUGCCAGCAGCCGCGGUAAUACGUAUGGGGCGAGCGUUGUCCGGAUUUAUUGGGCGUAAAGCGCGUCUAGGUGGUUAUAUAAGUCUGAUGUGAAAAUGCAGGGCUCAACUCUGUAUUGCGUUGGAAACUGUAUAACUAGAGUACUGGAGAGGUAAGCGGAACUACAGUGUAGAGGUGAAAUUCGUAGAUAUUUGUAGGAAUGCCGAUGGGGAAGCCAGCUUACUGGACAGAUACUGACGCUAAAGCGCGAAAGCGUGGGUAGCUAACAGG
rnacentral:rRNA from 1 species